UGAAACAGGCUCUCCGUCCUCCCCAAGACUGGGGGCCUCCCAUAGACCCACAGAACGCCAGGUUGCCAGUGGGGGGCAGAUCGGGAUUAGGGGUAGGCGUGUCCCUGACCUGUUACUUUCACACCCACCCACUUGCGUCUCCCCACUUUUUUGGGAGAGGCCCCACUCUCUGUACCCUGAUGUCUGUGAGGUGCAUGGGAGAGGCAGCGUCCAUACUCCCCGCUUCCCUCGGGGUCCUGGGGAGUGGCAGCAAAAAGACCAGCGAGCCUUUGGAGAAUUGGCUGGGGAGCGGCCGACCAUGGCCUCAGCACCGGGCACUGGGAGAAUGUCCCAGGCCUGCUGUCACUGAGCUGCUGUCCUGCAGUGGGGCUGGCCAUGCUGGCCUGAUUCUGGGCCUCCCUGGGGGCAUUGCUGG
rnacentral:lncRNA from 1 species